AGAGUUUGAUCAUGGCUCAGAACGAACGCUGGCGGCAGGCCUAACACAUGCAAGUCGAACGCCCUAGCAAUAGGGAGUGGCAGACGGGUGAGUAACACGUGGGAACCUUCCCUAUAGUACGGAAUAGCUCAGGGAAACUUGAAGUAAUACCGUAUACGCCCGAGAGGGGAAAGAUUUAUCGCUAUAGGAUGGGCCCGCGUCGGAUUAGCUAGUUGAUGAGGUAAUGGCUCACCAAGGCGACGAUCCGUAGCUGGUUUGAGAGAACGACCAGCCACACUGGGACUGAGACACGGCCCAGACUCCUACGGGAGGCAGCAGUGGGGAAUAUUGGACAAUGGGCGCAAGCCUGAUCCAGCCAUGCCGCGUGAGUGAUGAAGGCCUUAGGGUUGUAAAGCUCUUUUAGCAGGGAAGAUAAUGACUGUACCUGCAGAAUAAGCUCCGGCUAACUUCGUG
rnacentral:rRNA from 1 species